CAACUGCAUAAGUAAGUGAAGCAGCAACUCCACACACGCACACAUUUUCCCCCUUUUCAUUCGUGUUUCCAUCCUGUUUGGCUUGACAUCAUUGCGAGUCUCUCUCACACAAAAGCCCAGGAUCUGUGGUUACGCGUGCCGUUCGCUGGUCUCCAGCCCACUCUCCCCUCCUCCUCUCUCUCCGCCAGAAGAGUUUCCGUUCCUUAACGACAGUCAAACAAAAGGCCGAAACCAAGCAAAAAGAGCUUAGCCAUGGCGGAUGGAAAGACCUCUGCAUCUGUGGUGGCGGUCGACGCCGAGAGCGCGGCAAAGGAGCGCGACGCAGCCGCCCGCGCGAUGCUGCAGGACGGCGGCGUUUCACCAGUCGGAAAGGCUCAGCUGUUAAAGAAGGGCCUCGUGCACACGGUUCCGUACACCCUCAAGGUCGUCGUGGCGGACCCCAAGGAGAUGGAAAAGGCCGCAGCAGAUGCGGAGCAAGUGCUCCAGGCUGCCUUCCAGGUGGUCGACACCCUCCUCAACAACUUCAACGAGAACAGCGAGGUGUCCCGCAUCAAUCGAAUGCCGGUCGGUGAGGAACACCAGAUGUCUGCGGCUCUGAAGCAUGUGAUGGCCUGCUGCCAGAAAGUCUACAACUCGUCGCGCGGCGCCUUCGACCCCGCCGUCGGUCCCCUCGUCCGAGAGCUGCGCGAGGCCGCACAUAAGGGCAAGACGGUGCCGGCGGAGCACGUCAACGACCUCCUCAGCAAGUGCACGCUGAACGCUAGCUUCUCCAUUGACAUGAACCGUGGCAUGAUCGCCCGCAAGCACGCGGACGCGAUGCUGGAUCUUGGUGGUGUGAACAAGGGCUACGGCAUCGACUACAUCGUCGAGCGCCUCAACAGCCUCGGCUACAACGACGUCUUCUUCGAGUGGGGCGGUGAUGUGCGUGCCAGUGGCAAGAACCAGUCGAACCAGCCCUGGGCCGUCGGCAUCGUGCGCCCGCCCGCUUUGGCGGACAUUCGCACUGUGGUGCCGGAAGACAAGCGGUCCUUCAUCCGGGUGGUGCGCCUCAACAACGAAGCCAUCGCCACCAGCGGUGACUACGAGAACCUCAUUGAGGGCCCCGGCUCCAAGGUGUACUCGUCGACCUUCGAUCCGGCGUCAAAGAACCUGCUGGAGCCAACCGAGGCGGACAUGGCACAGGUCUCCGUGAAGUGCUACAGCUGCAUGUACGCCGAUGCCCUGGCCACCGCCGCGCUCCUCAAGAACGACCCGGCGGCCGUCCGCCGCAUGCUGGACAACUGGCGCUACGUGCGCGAUACCGUCACCGACUACACCACCUACACUCGUGAGGGCGAGCGUGUCGCCAAGAUGCUCGAAAUCGCUACGGAGGAUGCGGAGAUGCGCGCGAAGCGCAUCAAGGGCUCGCUGCCGGCGCGCGUGAUCAUCGUUGGUGGAGGUCUGGCCGGUUGCUCGGCCGCGAUCGAGGCGGCCAACUGUGGCGCGCAGGUGAUUCUGCUGGAGAAGGAGCCAAAGCUCGGCGGCAACAGCGCCAAAGCAACGUCCGGCAUCAACGCCUGGGGAACCCGUGCGCAGGCGAAGCAGGGCGUCAUGGACGGCGGCAAGUUCUUUGAGCGCGACACACACCGCUCCGGCAAGGGUGGCAACUGCGAUCCGUGCCUCGUCAAGACGCUAUCUGUAAAGAGCUCCGACGCGGUGAAGUGGCUGUCCGAGCUGGGCGUGCCGCUGACGGUGCUGUCGCAGCUCGGCGGCGCGAGCCGCAAGCGCUGCCACCGCGCACCAGAUAAGUCGGACGGUACCCCGGUCCCGGUGGGCUUCACCAUCAUGAAGACCCUGGAGAACCAUAUCGUCAACAACCUCAGUCGCCAUGUUACUGUGAUGACGGGCAUUACUGUGACGGCGCUGGAGAGCACGAGCCGUGUCCGCCCUGAUGGCGUCCUUGUGAAGCACGUGACGGGCGUCCGCCUCAUCCAGGCCAGCGGGCAGUCCAUGGUGCUGAACGCCGACGCUGUCGUUCUCGCCACCGGCGGCUUCUCGAACGACCACACGCCCAACUCGCUCCUGCAGCAGUACGCGCCGCAACUGUCGUCCUUCCCCACCACCAACGGUGUAUGGGCCACCGGUGAUGGCGUGAAGAUGGCGAGCAAGCUGGGCGUGACGCUGGUAGACAUGGACAAGGUGCAGCUGCACCCGACCGGUCUGCUAGACCCGAAGGAUCCGUCGAAUCGCACCAAGUACCUUGGCCCCGAGGCGCUGCGUGGCUCCGGUGGCGUGCUGCUGAACAAGAACGGCGAGCGCUUCGUGAACGAGCUGGACCUGCGCUCCGUCGUGUCGCAGGCGAUUAUCGCGCAGGACAACGUCUACCCCGGGUCCGGCGGCAGCAAAUUCGCGUACUGUGUGCUGAAUGAGACCGCGGCGAAGCUCUUCGGCAAGAAUUUCCUCGGCUUCUACUGGAACCGCCUCGGUCUCUUCCAGAAGGUGGAUAGCGUCGCUGGCCUGGCGAAACUGAUUGGCUGCCCUGAGGCGAAUGUGAUGGCAACCCUGAAGCAGUACGAGGAGCUCUCCUCCAAGAAGUUAAACCCCUGCCCGCUGACUGGCAAGAACGUGUUCCCUUGUGUGCUGGGUACUCAAGGGCCCUACUACGUUGCCCUCGUCACGCCGUCGAUCCACUACACCAUGGGUGGCUGCCUCAUCUCGCCCUCGGCGGAGAUGCAGACCAUAGACAAUAGCGGUGUGACCCCCGUUCGUCGUCCGAUUCUUGGUCUCUUUGGCGCUGGCGAGGUGACGGGCGGCGUGCACGGUGGCAACCGUCUCGGCGGUAACUCGCUGCUAGAGUGUGUCGUGUUUGGCAAGAUCGCCGGCGACCGCGCGGCCACGAUUCUGCAGAAGAAGAGCACGGGGCUAUCCACGACGGAGUGGUCGACCGUGGUGCUGCGUGAGGUGCGCGAGGGUGGCGUGUACGGUGCGGGCUCGCGCGUGCUGCGCUUCAACAUGCCCGGCGCGCUGCAGAGGACUGGCCUUGCUCUUGGUCAGUUUAUCGGCAUUCGCGGUGACUGGGACGGCCACCGACUGAUCGGCUACUACAGCCCCAUCACGCUUCCGGACGAUGUCGGUGUGAUUGGCAUCCUCGCCCGUGCCGACAAGGGCCGCCUGGCGGAGUGGAUCUCUGCCCUGCAGCCUGGAGACGCGGUGGAGAUGAAGGCGUGCGGUGGCCUUAUCAUCGAGCGCCGCUUCGCCGACCGCCACUUCUUUUUCCGUGGCCACAAGAUUCGCAAGCUCGCCCUCAUCGGUGGCGGCACGGGUGUCGCGCCGAUGCUGCAGAUUGUGCGGGCUGCGGUGAAGAAACCCUUCGUGGACUCGAUUGAGAGCAUUCAGUUCAUCUACGCCGCCGAGGACGUAUCAGAGCUGACGUACCGCACGCUGCUUGAGAGCUACGAGAAGGAGUAUGGCUCUGAGAAGUUCAAGUGUCACUUCGUUCUCAACAACCCUCCUGCUCAGUGGACCGACGGCGUCGGCUUCGUUGAUACCGCUUUGCUACGCUCCGCCGUGCAGGCGCCGUCCAACGACCUUCUGGUGGCCAUCUGCGGUCCGCCGAUCAUGCAGCGUGCGGUCAAGGGUGCCCUCAAGGGUCUCGGCUACAACAUGAACCUCGUGCGCACGGUGGAUGAAACAGAGCCCACCUCGGCCAAGAUUUGAAGACAACCACGCAAACAACAGCGUGUGUGUCUGUGUAAUUACAUUCGCUUCGCUUCAAACACCUGUGUGGAGGAGAGACAGAAAAGAAAGUAAACGCAUGCACAAAGGAGGGUGUGCUACUGCUGAAUUAGGCAAGACAUCACGUCAACCUCACUUUCUGUGCUGCGCUUACAUGCACACGAUACCCAUCACGUCACAGGCACUGGCCUCUUCGUUUUUUGUUGUUCGUUUCUCUCCCUCCGGCCCUCCGUGGCUUGUAGUCUCCUACCGUUUUUGCGUGCGCUUUCUGCUCUUUUUUAAACUGACUUAGUGCGGUAUGCUCCUGUGUACCGCGCCGCACUGCGCACGUGUGCAUGUGUGUGUGUGUGUGUGUGUGUGUGUGUGAAGCGUGCGCUACUUCUGGUGCUGUGUGGUGCAGGUUUUUCUUGUCGUUUUUCUUCCGUGGCACGCUUGUGUUUCGUUUGAGCUUUGUGCUCACAUUUGCACACACACACACACAUGCACACGUGCGCAGAUAAAAGGCAAUAUUUUUCCACGUGCAUGACACAACGCCCACUCACCGCUUCGUUUUGUUUUUGUUUUGCACACCCGUCCUUUUACUCCCCAUCUCUGUCAAGCGCAUGCGUGUACAAGGCAUCACGGCGUGAGCGUCGGAAGAGGAGGACGGUGUGGCAUCCACGAAGAUGAGUGCAGCACAUCUACAAAAGAGAACAAAAAAAAAACAUGAAAAUGAUGCAGACGGCUCAUACAAGGUGCAAGCGAGAGUUGGGUAUUACCACAAUGAAAGGCGUCACACCAGCACAUCCGGGGAGCACACACACACGUGUAAAGGGCUCUUGUGUGUUUUUCGCUUGCCUUGUGUGCAUGUGUGCGUCCGUGAAUUCCCAUUUCAUCGGCGAGAAGAAAACAGAAAAGGCCCAGAAACGCGCUCGCCGGUGUCUUCCUGCUAUCAAAAACUUUUCUUCUGUUUUGCUGUUUGUUCCUGCUGAUGGAUGGCUGACUGAUACUUAUGCUUGAUGUGGUGAAUGCUCUUCGGCUCCUCAGAGCCAGCUUUUUAUGGAGGGCGUCUUCAGCGCUUCAGGGAUAAGGUGAUUGGCGUGCGUUUGAGUGUAAACGUGUGUAUGUGUGUGCUGGCGGAGAGGCGGGGCGAGUGGAACUUCGUCUUUGUUUGCUUUCUGUCGCUCUUUCAUGUACACAGCCUGACCCCUUUUUUUUUCUUGGUAUGGAGAGGGGGGCUGUGGUGGUGGUGGUGGUGGUUCUCUCUCUGUUGUUGCUAUCAUUGUCGUUUGACUGUUGUUGUUUGUGACUUCUGCGGUCCUUUUUUUUUCGCCUUUCACGUCGCUGCCUGCGAUGCUCUUCCUCUCUUGUCUCUUCCCUUUUGAUGCCUCUUUGCUUUGGCUUUCUUCUGUUGUUGUUCCUCUUUUUUUGUUCUCUUCACGAAUCAGCCAGAGUAUACACACACACGCACGCUGACAACCUGCACCUUUCCUCACUCCCUCUCUCUCCUCCAGUGCAAAAUCACAAGAGGAGGGAAGGUGGCGGCGGCGAAAGGCGGACAUCAAUUUCUUCGAAAGGGGUGAGUGGAAGGAAAGUGACAGCGAAGACGCGAUGCAAAACCUCGGGGUGUUCUGUGCAGCGUUGGCAGAGGAGGAGAUCGCAGCAAAUGCCUGCACAUAUUUCGAGCAUUGCCACCACCACCAUCCUUUUCUCUUUCUCACGGCGCUUCGCGGAAGGCUCAAAGCAACACACAGAGAAAGAUUCACGUAGCGCCGAGCCACAUCCGCUUGCUCACUUGGUUUACAAUCUUCCGAGAAGCAGCAGCGCGUUUGCGCGUGUGAAAGAAAGAAAGAACGGAUAUGUGUCCAUGUCUGCCCUUCUCGCGCUCCCUCUUUCUUCUGUCCUUUCUGGUGCAGCCUCAUUGGCCCCGUGGUGAAUGGAUUGCACCGUCUCUCUGUGUUUUGAUGUGUGUAUCUGCAGGCAGAGCGUAGCAGACGGUCCGUUAGUCGUUGCCACUUCCUCGUUCGUUCUUUUUUCUUCUGUUUUUCCCCUUGUGCGUGCGCCUUAGUCUAUUCUUCCCCACGCUCUUCAUUUAGUGACGACGUCGAUCUGUGUCCUAUCUCAAAUUUCGACUCGCUGUGUGAAAGCAACGGGGAGAGUGCAUGGAUGUAUGAGUACGUUCGUCCAUGUGCAUGCAGCAGCUCUCUGCCCCCCCCUCCCCCUCUUUGCUCGCCGUCCUUUGAUGCUCUCUUUUUUCUCCAUGUAUCUUGUCGAUGAUUUUCUCUUUAUGUUCCUGAACCUCUUCUGUUUUUUUUUUUAUUGUUUGGGGGUGGUGGUCACCUUCGCUGGGGGGGAGGGAACAAAUCGUGAAGGGAAUGCGACGGAAAGCGAUGGAAAGAGGAGGCAACAUUAGUAUACGGAGAACGCCUCAAGCAGUUUAACAACGACGCAGCAGUCCUUUUUCCCCCUCUGAGCUCAGUGUUGACCUUAAAAAC
rnacentral:misc_RNA from 1 species